CAGAGAUGGAAGCCAGGACAAGGGAGCCCACCGGGCCCAGAUAGAGACUUCAGAACCCACUCCUGAGAACAGCGGAGCCAGGCGCUUAGAGGAAGACCAAAUGCUGCCAGGACACGGAUUGUCCAGGGAUUACAUUCCAGCAUCUUAUUAGAGGACGGAAGCAGAGGGUGCUGUUUCAACGCCACCACCAGGAGAGAGGCAGAGGGGCUGUGCCGUGCUAGAGUCCUCAGGGAGGGAGUGACCUCGACCCUGGCUGUGCUGCAAGCUGACUCCAGCCUUGGGCUCAGCAGCACCCGGUGAACAGCAGCAGGAGGAGCCGCUAGAGCAGCUGCUCAUGGGCAGAGCAGCCCUUGGGCAACUCCUGCCACCACCCCCUCCCCAGGGAGCCCAAGGCAGGGGAGGCUCAGCAUGGAAUGAAACAGGGGAGUGAGGGACACAAGGAGGUGGGAAGUGGGAGGGUCCCAGCCCCACCAAGUACGCAGAGACCCCCUUGUCGUCCUGGACACCACAGGGGCACCUGCAGGCUGGGAGACCAGGUCCUCUGUGCAUGGGCCCGGGAGGCAGACCUGCCCCAAGGGUGAUGCAGAGGCCACAGGUGCUGCACGCUCCAGCGCCCACUCUAGACAUCAGCCUCCAGGUUGACUAAGGGUCAGGUCAUGUUUGAAACCAUGCUUGGCUGGACCGGGACCCAUGGCAAGAGCACCUGGGCACCAGUGUUUAGCCCUGGUCUGCAGGAAGGAGGACAGCAGACUUUAGGACCCCACAGCAUGGCAGUGCUGACCAUUUCACCCACUUGGCCUCCUUGAGGAAUAGGGAUGGGGAGCCCUCUGGGGAUGAGCAAGGCCUUCCAGGACAGGCUCGGUUCUGGUCCCCUGCUUUUUGAGGUUGGGUUAAAAUGCCGACCAUGGCAGAGGGGUCACAGCUCAGGUUCCCACACCUCACUUUUCACAGCCUCCAAGGGCAGCAGUGCACAUGGAGGAGACGUCUCCCACGAGGCCAAGGCCUCCAAUGCUCACCGAUGCCCUCUGCGAAGCUGGGGUAGAACUCGUCAGUGAAGAGGGGCUCAGGCAGCUCACGGAAGUACAGCUUCAGCGUGCCUGCGAUGGCGUUCAUGUCCGUCUCGCUCAUCAUCACCGACAUGUCCUUCUUAUCUGGAAAGAGCACGGAAAUGCAGCGGCCUCCUUGAAGAUCCUGAUAAAUGAAGAAAAGACACAGAGAAGGAUGUGACAUGCCUGGGCCAUGGAGCACUCUGAGAUCUCAUCGCGGACACCACUGCCCACACCUCCAUCCCGUCCUGCGCAGGCCAACACUCACUGACAUCGAAGGCUGCCUUCAGUGCCUGGAUGUCUGCGGCCACACCGGCCGGACACGUGGUAGAUGCCCACCUCCUCCAUGCCUCGGCGCUCGAUCUCCUCCACGCACUGGCGCACGAUGUAGGGCACCUUGGACCUCUCUCUCCUGUGGGAGGGGGGAAUGUUCUCAGUGUCCUAACAGCCCUGCUUGGGCCAUAACACAGGAGACCUGCUCCCUAUCUGCGCACCCGGAGGUGGGGUGAGGACGGUGACGAAGGUACCCAGGUCUGGGGCUGCACACAGAGCCUUCUGCAUGCCUGUCCUCCCUCUGCAAGCUCUGUCUUCACGGCAUGUGCUUUCUCAGGAACCUUUCAAGCGGCCAGAACCCCUGCGAAUCACACAUGACCUUUGCGGGAAGGUCAGGAGGCCUGUCUAAGUCAAGUCAGCACGGGAAGGGCAUCUGACAGAUUCCAGGCCUGGGGUUAGCAGCCUGUGCCCCCGGCUGGGAGAUCAGACCCGGUGUUGGUCCUGCCACCCACGUGCUGUGUGAGAGGAGAAUCCCUGACCCCUGCCCUGGGCCUUAACACACAUCCGACGAAUGAAUGAAGGGUUGCCUCAGUACCGGUGCUCCAAGUCCUGCGAUGCUAAGUGCUUUUCUCCUCUGAGUCUUAGCAAUGGACAAUUCCAAUACCUCCACACAGGACACUAGAGUAAGAAACCUUCACAGUUAGAACGCAGUGCUGUGCGGAGGCCUUAACUUGAGUUCUGUUUUGCACCUGGAUUUACCAGCACAUCAAAGCUGCUUCGCAAGCCCCCUCAUUAGCAGGGCUUAUCUGGGGGAGCUGCUGAUGGAGUCCUCGCUGCUCAUGCCCACAGCCCUCCCAGAGUGCUAUGCGAGUGGCUGCCGUGCAGUUGGGGGUGGGGCGUGGUGUUUAGACACAGAUAGGAGUCCAGGGUAUGACUGAUGGAGGCCCCGGCCCACGUGACCAGCAAGGUCAGAGGCCCAGCCAGAUUCCAUCCUGGGGAAGCAAAUGAAUUCUCAGAGGAAGUGGUCUGUGUCUGCAUGAACUGCUCUCAAACCAACAAACAGGCUUCUCUUGG
rnacentral:lncRNA from 1 species